rnacentral:tRNA from 1 species
UGGGAUGUAGCUCAGUAGUAGAGUGCUUGCCUGGCAUGCUUGAGGUCCUGGGUUUAAUCCACAGUACUGCAA